AUGGUCGGAGAAGAGGAGGACAUUGACUUCAUUCUGAAGGCCUUUGCUCUGUAAAGCAAGUGCAUGACAGCAGUUAUGGCUGUAAGUUUCCAAGUAAAUGAUUAAGGAAAGCUUGCUGAAGAAAGUUGGAUGGCACCGAUGGCAAUACCAAAAGGAGUGUUUAGAGAAGAUGUCACUGCACUUCAGCUGAAGCAGCUGCGUACGCAGUUAGCACAGGCUGCUGGAAAAUAAAGGAGUUUGAGCACCUAUGGUGACACAAUCCAGUGGGCUGGGGAUCACUCCAAAGCUUUGACUUUGCCAAGACUGCUGGGAUGCUCUUGCACUCCUCUGGGCAUUCUCCAUCCACUGGAGCAGCAGUGCUUCAGACAGGCAACCUGGGCAUGAGCCUGAGAAUUUCACCUCAUGUAGAUUGUGAAGAGAGGAGAAAAAUGUCCUUACAAGCCCAGGUCUUACAUUUUGUCAGAAUUGGUGGUUGGGACCCCUGGCAUGGUGAUAUUUUGGCUCCUCUGCUUCCAGCAUCAGGAGAUCCCAGAUGAGUUCUGCCCAUGAGUUGUCUUUGCUGGGUUUACAUUGGGCUCACAGAUGAAGUUGUGAUGGAUGGUCUUUUGCAUCCGACAGCCCUCCUGCUCUGUGUUCCUGUUUGCUGGGGCCUGGAUUUUACUUCUUUAAGCACUGACUACACAUGAGAGAGGAAUGUAGGGAAGAAUAUGAAGCAGCAGAUUUUGCAUUCAGACUUUGCAAAGCUUGGAACUGGCCCUGAGGAGGAAAUGGCAGUGGCGUAAGUUAAUCCUGGGAAUCAGCUCUCUGGCAUUUCUGCUAUGGUUGAUUGAUUUCAUUUGUCUUCAAUGCUGGCUAAAGAGAAAAUAGCAUCUUCCAGAACAAAGUGUGUUGAAUUUGGCUCUAUACUGCUGUUCUUAUGAAGAGUUUCUGAAACUUUUCCUGUUUGGUUCUUUAUCAUAUUUGUAAGAUUCAUUACUAAGCAGAAGUAUAUCCUCAAGCUGGAAAGCUAAUCACUAACAGUAGAUUAUAUGUAGUGCAAAUGUCUGUGGGACCUCUACUCGCCUUGGUUAUUAAAUCUUUUUUUUUAUUAUUUUCAUUUUGUUUAGUAUUGCUUCCAAGUCAAAUGUCUUGUUAAGAAUUAAAGUUUUAAAAUGAUAGACCUAGAAUUUUUAUAAAGGAUUUCGUCCUUACUAUGGAACUAGAAAACAGUUUAAAAAGUUGUAUAGGGAAAAUGUAAUAAAUAUUACUGCAUUUGGAGUGA